CCGUCCACUCAACCUCCCUUCGACCCUCACUCCGGGUACGAGUCGAUGAUUCUAUGAGAUUCUCGCCAUGUGCCUUCGCCAUAUUCGCCACACCUCAAAUCUCCGUUUCUGCAAUUGGCCAUGAAGAGGAUGGAAGCCAUGUGAGAUAGAUUUCGAAAGGACAUUGGGACUUGGGCGUGAGUGAACAGAGGUUUGAUAUGGGGAGAUUUGAGGAGGUUAAUGGGUUCGGAUACAUUGAAUCACAAUCCCGAGAUUGAGGAUUUGUACGAGAAGAUGAUUUUGAAGCUUAAGGAAUUGGCGAGGCUUAUGGACAAGAGUUCAGCUAGGGUUCUUGAGCAGGGACUGAUAUGAGAUCUAUACAACUUUUGACAGGAAGAUCAAAAUGGAAAAUUAAGGUGUAAGCUUGCAGGCUUGCAAUGGUUGUUGGUUGCUCAGAGGAUUUCCACUACUCAUUUAUAGGUUUUAUGUAUAUGCAUAUAUGGUUUUGCUUCUAUGCUAUAUUUUUAUUGGUUUAAUGAUUGACUUAAUACGCAAGUUGUUCUUCUUGUAAUUGCUUUGUUUAUACUAUUGGUUUUUUAAUUUUAUCCAAAAGAAUUAGGAGAUGAGGUUUGCACUAAAUAAGCUAAUCUAUCAGAAUGUGAAGAAUACAUAGAUUCCCAGUUUGUUUUUAUGAAGAAUGGUCACAGAAUCAAGAAAAGACAGUAUGUGGACUAGUGAGCAGGAUGGUUGCUAAAGGAUCCCAUUUUGCUCCCUUCUUUCAAAGUGAUUUUAGAGGUAGGAGUUGAUUGAUAAGGCCCCUCUUAUUUUCAGAAGCUUAUAGUAUAGAACUUCGUCAAGAUCAAGUGGGGUUUCUAGAUAAGACUUUUGCUAGGCAUGAGCUUUUGAAACUGUCUUCAAGAUAGGACAAGUUAAGGCUCCAAGUAAGAAAUUCUGUGGUCUAUUUUGCUGCUACUUUGGGAGUUUAUAGGUUCCUUAGUUGCCACUAAAUUCAGAUUAUAUGCUUAAAGAAUUAGAUAUUUACUACCGUGAAGCACCAGUUGGAUUAGUAGCUCAUUUACUUUGGUAACUGGGGAAGAUCUAGUUAAGACAUGUACUGGGCUCUUAGUCAAGGUACACAAUCUGUUAUCAAUCAUCCUCUAUUUGGCAGACCACAGUCCUUUGUCCAAAGGCUGCCCUUGAAACUGUUAUCUUUUAAAACAUAUUCUUGAUGGUUAUGGUAAUAAAUGGUGUGCAAAAUAGGACAAACAAGUCUAACCUUUGGUCCAGCCCAAACACUUGUAAUCAUCAGAGAGUGUUUCUAGCCAUGUCUUUUAGCCGAAAACUGUAGAAGCACCUACCUAAAUAUUAUGAUUUCCCAUUGUACAUACCUCGUAGCAAAAGGGAUAAACUAGGAUAUUUGCUAUAGAAAUUAUUUUAUUUGAGAAAGUCUUGCUGUGAAAAUUCAAGGUUACAGAAUUCCACUUUCUCAAGUGCUUGGAAAGUAGGGAUACUUGUAUUCAGUCUCUGUUAGCUUCUCUUCAAAAGUAUCUAGAGUCAUGUAAUAAGCUCCCAUAAGCCUUUGUGGAUUUCUUCUUUGGCCUGUUUGAUUUUGGUGGGUUAAACUUAAUAUCAUAGAAUGAUUUCACUAGAAUAGUAGGAAUCAUCAUUCUGUUUCUAAAGAUCAUAGCAGGCAUGCGUUUGGAGAUUUUGUCUCAUAUACCAAGCGGAAUUAAUCAAAUCCUGACUUGCUGCUUUCUUGUUUUGCAAAAGGUUGACUGUCUAGGGAUAGAGGAUGCAAAUAAGAGCUCAUGGAUCUAGAAAAUUUUAUUGUUUGAUAAAAACCUCUUUUCAAAGGGGCCAGUGGCCAGUAGGUCAUGAAGAUACAUCUUGGAGUCACCUUACAGUCCCUAACAUUUGUUCUUUAUGAGUUCUGCUAUAAAGAUGCAUGCAGGGAAUCUUUAGUGUGUAGCCUAUAUAAUUGAUCCAGUGAGAAAAUUUCAGUCAAUGUACGUAUCUUGGUCACUUAUUUUUUUCUCCAGUUUAAGCCCAGUCAUUUACAUCUCUUCCUUUAUCAGCAUGAAUUCAAUGUUAAGAUUAUUUGGUAUUUUAAUAGAGUGGGAUUACGGAACCCACAUUGGAAAUUUGGAUAAUUUCCUAUCCCACGAAGAGCAAAGAAAUUUGAAUAAAAUUGAUGAUGCUAAUAUAGAACCUUAAUAGUUUUGGAGAAGAGUUUGGAGUUCUCUCUCACAGUAGAAAAUUCAAACCAUUUUCUAAAAAAUGUGCAAGUCCUACAUUAUCAGCUUCAUCUUAAUCCAUAGUGUAAAUCUUGGAUACCUGGCCAAGUUUUAUGAGGUUUUGAUUGAAAUUUUUAGAAAAAUGUUCCCACCUAAGAAACCUCUUAAAGAAUUUAGUUUGUGCUGGUUGGAUGGAGGGGUGCAUGUCUUCAGCUUCUUUCUUAGUUCUAAUGAAUAAGACCCCCACUGACUUCUUCCAAAGUUCUAGAGGUCUAAGACAAGGGGAUCCACUCUCCACUUAUUUAUUUGUUAUGAUGAUGGAUGCUUUAAGUUGAUUACUUGUUAAGGCAAGGGAAGGAGGUUUCAUCUCUAGUUUCUCGGUGGGUGGCAGGAAACUACGUUAGUUGAGGUGACCCACCUUUUGUUUGCUAACAAUACUAUAAUUUUUUGUGAGACAAAUGAAGAGUAGUUGAUGUAUUUGAACUGAACCCUCAUGUGAUUUGAAGCUAUUUUUGGGUUGAAAGUCGAUUUGGAUAAGAGUGAGAUCAUCCCAAUGGGGAGGAUUGACAAUUUGGAAGAGCUGGCAGCUGAGUUGGAUUGUCGGAUGGGAGUCUCCCUUCUACUUAUUUAGGUCUUCCUCCAGGAACCCCUUUCAAGUCAUCGGUAGUGUGGGAAGUAGUGGAGGAGAGAGCACAAAAAAGAUUGGCCUUGUGGAAAAAAUAGUACUUGUUGAAAGGGGGGAGACUCACUCUCAUUAAAAGCACUUUAUCUAGUCUACUUGUUUACUACAUGCCCCUUUUAGUAAUUCCAAGAAGGGUAAGUUUAAGGCUUGCAAAGUUCCAAAUAGAUUUUUUGUGGGGUGGAAGUGCUUCAAAGAAAAAAAUCUCACUUAAUGAACUGAGUCAAAGUAUGUUUAAACAAGAAAGGAGGGGUAUUGGGCAUUAGGAAUCUUUAUGUUCUCAACUUGGUGCUUCUAGGUAAGUGGGGUUGGAGAUUCAUUUCGAAGAGAGACUCGUUGUGGAGGCCUAUGAUUGUUGGGAAAUUCGGGGAGGAAAGUGGAGGUUGGACUUCAAGGGUGCUUAGGGAAGGUUAUGGUGUAGGUUUUUGGAAAGCCAUCAGGAAAUAUUGGAAGGUUUUUAAUAGCAAAGUUUGCUUUCAUUAUUAGGAAUGAGAGGAGAAUCAAGUUUUGGUUGCACAAGUGGUGUGGUGACAACUCCCUAAAAGAGUCUUCCCCACCUUAUUUUCCAUCACUAAUUCAAAGGAUGCCUAGGUUGUGGAUACGUGGGAUGAAGAAGGGGAGCUAGGUCAUUGGAGUCCUUGAUUCUCAAGACAAUUCCAUGAUCGUGAGUUAGAAAUGGUGAAGGCCUUUUUGCAUAGAAUUCAAAAGCAUUUUAUUAGGCAUGAGAUGGAGGAUAGAAUGACUUGGUUAGCCUCAAGGAAUAGAAAGUUCUAAAAAAAUAGGGUUACGCGUAAUAAGUUUUUGAUAUUCAGCAACCCCUGUUAAAAAAUAAUCAGAGAAAUUCAAACAUUUAUCUAUCCAUCCAUGCGGUAAACAACUACUCCUCCUAUAUGAAAAUAAUUAUGCAUCAUUCUCACACCGGUGGUAGCUUCAAAUAAAUAAUAGACUAAUUCUCUUUCUCUGAAAAUAUAGAAGAAAGGAGCCUAUACACCAAUAUUUGUCAUAAAAGAGCGAAGUCAUAAUAAAUGAGAGCUAUAUGACUCAACUCCAACAUAAUUACACUCUAAUAUAGCCGACUCUUUUAGGUACUUGAAUAUUUCCCAACUACUCUGGUGCAUUUAUGGUUAUUGCUUCUAUGAACAUAGUAGCUAAAUAAUCCCAAUGUGUUACAUAAGGCAAAUAUUGUAUAAUUGUUCGAUUUUCUGCAAUUUUUUCCAUCCCUCUGUGCAAAUAACCUAGUAUUAGUUCAUAGUCAAUAACAUCUUCACCAUCUAAAGUAACGAUGAGUCGAAGAACACCAUGCAUUGAUGGGUGAUGAGAACCCAUAUUGACUAUCAUGAGGUCUUCUCUUGUAGUUGGUACAUUCAUAGGUUUACCCCUGAUUCAUUCUUCCAUGAAUUGUUGAAAAUGAAAAGAAGUUCAUCAAAAUUCAAGAUCUACUAAAUCAAAUAAUUCAAAAGGACUCUUCAAAUUAAUGACUUUUUGUCUCCUGAAUACCCAACUGACCAAUUAAUUCUUUAUUACGUACUCUAUUUUUCUUUGCCAAAUAAGACUGCAACUGUUGAUGUUUUCUUAGAAUUUUCCGUAGACCUCUCUGAGAUAAAUAGUCUUUUCUGUGCAAUUCCAAAUGUGAAGUCUUCGGAUCUUAUUGGUGAAACUGACUUUCUUGACUCUAGGGGGUGCAGAGGCUUUCCCAGUUAGAGUGGUUUGGAACCCGUGGGUUUUGACGAGAUUUGGUUUUUUUGCUUGGGAAGCAUCUUGGGGAAGAAUUUUGACUUUAGACCCAUUGAAAAGGAGGGUUCCUUUAGUAAAUAGAUAUUUGUAGGAGUCCAUCGACCACUUGUUUCUACAUUUUGUUACAGCUAGAUAUUUGUAGCAGUUGAUUCUCUCAUUAUUUGGAUUGCAGUGGAUGAUGCAUUUUUCGGUAAGAUUGAUGUUGCUAAGCUAGAGUGGAGUUCAAGAAGGAAAAAAAUGGAAGAAGGUUUGGUUAGUUGCGCUUUUAUGCCUUUUUUGUGUAAUUUGGCAUCAAAGAAAUCAGAGCUUUUGAAGAUGUGGAACGUUCGGAUCAAGCACUUAAAUCUGUUCUUUUGCUUUCCUUUUUGGACCAUGUCAGGUUUCAUUUAGAAGGAAAUCCUGUCUUUGAUCGAUUUUGUAGAUUGGUUAGAAGCCAAGUAGUUGUGGGUAGGUAGGUGGUCUUGGUUUUUUGCCUUUCUUUAUCUGUUCUUUCUGGUUGGCAAGCUUUGUAUUCUUCUGGUGUACGUUGGCAAACUUUAGCUUAAUCUAUCUAUGUUAUUUUUC